rnacentral:lncRNA from 1 species
UUUUUUUUUUUUUUUUUUUGAUGCUGAAUAACAUACAGCAUUUUGCAAGUGAUGAGAGAGAAAUGGGCAUUUUCUUUUCUCUUAUAUAUUUAAUAAUUUUUAAUUUAAAAUGGUAUAUAUAAUUUAUGUCAACUAGGAAACUUAGAAAAUUCAAAUAAAUCCAAAAGAGGGGAAAAAAGUGAACCACCCAUAAGUUGGACCACAGAGGUAUUUAGAGACCAUUCCAGAAUGUCUUCUAGGUAUUCGUAAUUUUUUAAGUAUGUAAUGCAUAUUGCUUUAUAACCUGCUUUUUUGCCCUUAAUUAUAUUUUGGAUUUAUUUUUCCACAUUAGUGAGUACCUACAACCAGUCACUACAACAGCUGCAUGGUAUUCCGCUGCAUGGAAUAAAAACUCUAGGCGGUUUCCAAUUGUCUGCUAUUGCCAGCAACCUUGUGAUCCUCAGUGCUGAAAUAACCACAAGGCAAAGCUCUAUUAGCUUUAUUGUCUAAUUUCUGUCCCCACUCCUGAAUCCCUUGCUUGUCCCUAUUAUAAAUAAUUAAAAUGUUUUCCAGUUACACCUGCCUAAUUACAUAUUAAUGGUUCCAAGUCAAAAGAUCAUUGCUGAGCUUAAUUACAACAGAGCCACUUGUUCGCAAAAACCCAACCCUUUUUUCAUAUCAGAAACACCACCGUGAUCUACAGACUGAACUUUACAGACUAGAAUGAUCUUCUACAACAAACAGAUGUCAAUGGGUUCUCCCUUGAUAAGGCAGAAACGACAUCAUACCUAAUAAUUCAGACAGAGGAAAAUGAGUUCCAUAGUAAGGGAAUCUGCUUGUGAAAACAGUUUUAAAAUCAUGAGUAAUAUUGCAAAGUGGACAGGACAUGAGACCGAGGCAGACAAAAUGAGGUUAACAUUGGUACUGACCCCCCCCCCUUUUAUUUUUUUGUAUUUUUAGGGCCAUACCUGUGGCACAUGGAGGUUUCCAGGCUAGGGGUUGAAUCAGAGCUGUAGCUGCCAGCCUACACCACAGCAACAGCAAUGCCAGAUUCGAGCCACACCCAAGACCUACACUACAGCUCACAGAAACACUGAUCCUUAACCCAUUGAGGGAGGCCAGGGAUCAAACCUGCGUCCUCAAGGAUACUAGUCAGAUUUGUUUCCACUGAGCCAUGACAGGAACUCCUGGCACUGACUCUUAUUUGCUGUGUUCUCUUGAGCAACCUGAAUUAACUUCUCUGACCCCCAAGCUGUUUAUCUAUAAAAUAGUUAUUAAUACCUACUGCAGAGUUGUGGUAGGGAUUAAAAUGAUGAUAGAUGACUCCAAUGUUUUAUUUAUUUGACAAAUGAAUAGAUGAGGAGAGUAAUUCCAUUCUUCCCAAUCAAGAAAGCGACAGAAGGACACCAGGAGGGACUGCCCCUUCUUGAACAUUAAGACACAGAGAACAGCUAGAGUCAGAUCUCUCUCCAACUUGAAAGAAACCAUCUCUUAGUCCAACUCUGCCUUUGAUAUCUCAGGCCAUAGCGUUCUCCAUUAAUAAGGUGGCCAAAGAAUUUACAUCCAGAGUUCCCAUUAUGGCUCGGUGGGUUAAAAACCCGACUAUAUCCAUGAGGAUGUGGGUUCAAUCCCUGGCCUCACAGUGGGUUAAGGAUCUGGUAUUGCCAUGAGCUGCAGCAUAGGUUGCAGACAUGGCUCAGAUCUGGUGUUGCUGUGGCUGUGGCAUAGGCUGGCAGCUGCCACUCCAAUUCGACCCCUAGCCUAGGAACUUCCAUAUGCUGCAGGUGAGGCCCUAAAAAGUAAAAGAAAAAGAAUUUAUAUCCACACUGGGACACUUUUGAGACUUAACUGGGGCACUAUAAAUAGUUAGCAGGGACAGCAGGUACAAACUUGAACUCUCCCAGGCAGAGGGGUAACCCUGGUAUUAACUGCAUAAUGACCAGUCUACAUGGAGCAAGUAGAAAAACCAGGUCAUUUCAUUCCAAAGAACUCAUCCAGGAGUUUCCACUGUGACUGAAUGAGUUAAAAAUCUGACUGCAGUGACAUGAGUCACUGUAGAGGUGCAAGUUCAAACCCCGGCCCCAUAUGGUGGGUUAAAAGAUCUGGCAUUGCUGUAGCUACAGUGUAGGUCACAGGUGCGGCUCAGAUUCAGUCCCUGGCCCAGGAACUUCUGCAUGCCA